UGGGGAAUCUUGCGCAAUGGGCGAAAGCCUGACGCAGCAACGCCGCGUGGGGGAUGAAGGCUCUCGGGUUGUAAACCCCUUUCAGCAGGGACGAAUCUGACGGUACCUGCAGAAGAAGCCCCGGCCAACUACGUGCCAGCAGCCGCGGUAACACGUAGGGGGCAAGCGUUGUCCGGAUUUAUUGGGCGUAAAGAGCUCGUAGGUGGUUCGGUAAGUCGGGUGUGAAACCUCCAGGCUCAACCUGGAGACGCCACCCGAUACUGCUGUGACUGGAGUCCGGUAGGGGAGCGUGGAAUUCCUGGUGUAGCGGUGAAAUGCGCAGAUAUCAGGAGGAACACCAGCGGCGAAGGCGGCGCUCUGGGCCGGUACUGACACUGAGGAGCGAAAGCGUGGGUAGCAAACAGGAUUAGAUACCCUGGUAGUCCACGCCGUAAACGUUGGGCACUAGGUGUGGGUCUCAACCAACGGGAUCCGUGCCGUAGCUAACGCAUUAAGUGCCCCGCCUGGAGNGUACGGCCGCAAGGCUA
rnacentral:rRNA from 1 species